GCACCUUAAUCACAAUGGUUUAUUCGCCAUUCUUAGUCCUCCGCGGAGUCUCCCAAAUCUGACUCUUAAUCAGCGGGUCGAAGGUUCGAGUCCUUCGGGGGGCA
rnacentral:tRNA from 1 species